rnacentral:rRNA from 1 species
GAUGAACGCUGGCGGCGUGCCUAAUACAUGCCAGUCGAGCGAACGGACGAGAAGCUUGCUUCUCUGAUGUUAGCGGCGGACGGGUGAGUAACACGUGGAUAACCUACCUAUAAGACUGGGAUAACUUCGGGAAACCGGAGCUAAUACCGGAUAAUAUUUUGAACCGCAUGGUUCAAAAGUGAAAGACGGUCUUGCUGUCACUUAUAGAUGGAUCCGCGCCGCAUUAGCUAGUUGGUAAGGUAACGGCUUACCAAGGCAACGAUGCGUAGCCGACCUGAGAGGGUGAUCGGCCACACUGGAACUGAGACACGGUCCAGACUCCUACGGGAGGCAGCAGUAGGGAAUCUUCCGCAAUGGGCGAAAGCCUGACGGAGCAACGCCGCGUGAGUGAUGAAGGUCUUCGGAUCGUAAAACUCUGUUAUUAGGGAAGAACAUAUGUGUAAGUAACUGUGCACAUCUUGACGGUACCUAAUCAGAAAGCCACGGCUAACUACGUG